CCCAUAUGGUCGACCUGCAGGCGGCCGCGAAUUCACUAGUGAUUAGAGUUUGAUCCUGGCUCAGAACGAACGCUUUCGGUAUGCUUAACACAUGCAAGUCGAACGGAUUUAUUUAGAGCUUGCUUUAAAUAAAUUAGUGGCAGACGGGUGAGUAACACGUGGGAAUCUGCCCAUCAGUACGGAAUAACAUUUAGAAAUAAUUGCUAAUACCGUAUAUUCUCUUUGGAGGAAAGAUUUAUCGCUGAUGGAUGAGCCCGCGCCAGAUUAGGUAGUUGGUAGGGUAAUGGCCUACCAAGCCAAUGAUCUGUAGCUGGUUUGAGAGAAUGAUCAGCCACACUGGAACUGAGACACGGCCCAGACUCCUACGGGAGGCAGCAGUGGGGAAUAUUGGACAAUGGGCGAAAGCCUGAUCCAGCAGUGCCGCGUGAGUGAUGAAGGCCUUAGGGUUGUAAAGCUCUUUUACCCGGGAUGAUAAUGACAGUACCGGGAGAAUAAGCUCCGGCUAACUCCGUGCCAGCAGCCGCGGUAAUACGAAUCGAAUUCCCGCGGCCGCCAUGGCG
rnacentral:rRNA from 1 species